CCCGCACAAGCGGUGGAGCAUGUGGUUUAAUUCGACGCAACGCGAAGAACCUUACCAGGGCUUGACAUCCCUGACCGCGUAUGAAAGUACGUUUCACUUCGGAGACAGGGAGACAGGUGGUGCAUGGUUGUCGUCAGCUCGUGUCGUGAGAUGUUGGGUUAAGUCCCGCAACGAGCGCAACCCUCGACCUUAGUUGCCAGCAUUCAGUUGGGCACUCUAAGGUGACUGCCGGCUAAAAGUCGGAGGAAGGUGGGGAUGACGUCAAAUCAUCAUGCCCCUUAUGACCUGGGCUACACACGUGCUACAAUGGGCGGUACAAAGGGUCGCGAACCCGCGAGGGGGAGCCAAUCCCAAAAAGCCGCUCUCAGUUCGGAUUGCAGGCUGCAACUCGCCUGCAUGAAGCCGGAAUCGCUAGUAAUCGCAGGUCAGCAUACUGCGGUGAAUACGUUCCCGGGCCUU
rnacentral:rRNA from 1 species